rnacentral:rRNA from 1 species
UACGUGAGGGGCAAGCGUUGUCCGGAUUUAUUGGGCGUAAAGCGCUCGCAGGUGGUUCAUUGCGGUCGUGCGUGAAAGACCCCGGCUCAACUGGGGAGGGUCGUGCGAAACGGGUGAACUAGAGGCCAGUAGGGGGAUGCGGAAUUCCGGGUGUAGUGGUGGAAUGCGUAGAGAUCCGGAGGAACACCAGCGGCGAAGGCGGCAUCCUGGACGUGGUCCUGACACUCAGGAGCGAAAGCGUGGGGAGGCGAGUCCGG